GAGCAAUCUGUGUGACUGCGUACCUUUUGUAUAAUGGGUCAGCGACUUAUAUUCUGUAGCAAGGUUAACCGAAUAGGGGAGCCGAAGGGAAACCGAGUCUUAACUGGGCGUUAAGUUGCAGGGUAUAGACCCGAAACCCGGUGAUCUAGCCAUGGGCAGGUUGAAGGUUGGGUAACACUAACUGGAGGACCGAACCGACUAAUGUUGAAAAAUUAGCGGAUGACUUGUGGCUGGGGGUGAAAGGCCAAUCAAACCGGGAGAUAGCUGGUUCUCCCCGAAAGCUAUUUAGGUAGCGCCUCGUGAAUUCAUCUCCGGGGGUAGAGCACUGUUUCGGCAAGGGGGUCAUCCCGACUUACCAACCCGAUGCAAACUGCGAAUACCGGAGAAUGUUAUCACGGGAGACACACGGCGGGUGCUAACGUCCGUCGUGAAGAGGGAAACAACCCAGACCGCCAGCUAAGGUCCCAAAGUCAUGGUUAAGUGGGAAACGAUGUGGGAAGGCCCAGACAGCCAGGAUGUUGGCUUAGAAGCAGCCAUCAUUUAAAGAAAGCGUAAUAGCUCACUGGUCGAGUCGGCCUGCGCGGAAGAUGUAACGGGGCUAAACCAUGCACCGAAGCUGCGGCAGCGACGCUGAUGUGUUGUUGGGUAGGGGAGCGUUCUGUAAGCCUGUGAAGGUGUACUGUGAGGUAUGCUGGAGGUAUCAGAAGUGCGAAUGCUGACAUAAGUAACGAUAAAGCGGGUGAAAAGCCCGCUCGCCGGAAGACCAAGGGUUCCUGUCCAACGUUAAUCGGGGCAGGGUGAGUCGACCCCUAAGGCGAGGCCGAAAGGCGUAGUCGAUGGGAAACAGGUUAAUAUUCCUGUACUUGGUGUUACUGCGAAGGGGGGACGGAGAAGGCUAUGUUGGCCGGGCGACGGUUGUCCCGGUUUAAGCGUGUAGGCUGGUUUUCCAGGCAAAUCCGGAAAAUCAAGGCUGAGGCGUGAUGACGAGGCACUACGGUGCUGAAGCAACAAAUGCCCUGCUUCCAGGAAAAGCCUCUAAGCAUCAGGUAACAUCAAAUCGUACCCCAAACCGACACAGGUGGUCAGGUAGAGAAUACCAAGGCGCUUGAGAGAACUCGGGUGAAGGAACUAGGCAAAAUGGUGCCGUAACUUCGGGAGAAGGCACGCUGAUAUGUAGGUGAAGUCCCUCGCGGAUGGAGCUGAAAUCAGUCGAAGAUACCAGCUGGCUGCAACUGUUUAUUAAAAACACAGCACUGUGCAAACACGAAAGUGGACGUAUACGGUGUGACGCCUGCCCGGUGCCGGAAGGUUAAUUGAUGGGGUUAGCGCAAGCGAAGCUCUUGAUCGAAGCCCCGGUAAACGGCGGCCGUAACUAUAACGGUCCUAAGGUAGCGAAAUUCCUUGUCGGGUAAGUUCCGACCUGCACGAAUGGCGUAAUGAUGGCCAGGCUGUCUCCACCCGAGACUCAGUGAAAUUGAACUCGCUGUGAAGAUGCAGUGUACCCGCGGCAAGACGGAAAGACCCCGUGAACCUUUACUAUAGCUUGACACUGAACAUUGAGCCUUGAUGUGUAGGAUAGGUGGGAGGCUUUGAAGUGUGGACGCCAGUCUGCAUGGAGCCGACCUUGAAAUACCACCCUUUAAUGUUUGAUGUUCUAAC
rnacentral:rRNA from 1 species